GUAUUAGCUUCGUUGGUGAUAAAACAUUAUGGUACUAUCUAGCUUGUUCUGCGCAGUUCUGUUUGGUGUAUUAGUGGCGACAAGAUCAAAUCUAAAUGAACACGAAAGCAAUCAUGGUGUAGAUAUUGUUCGGUUCUGGAACACAAGUGAACUCAUCUGGACUACUCAUACUACAGCCCCGAGGACGCACCUAUGCAUGGUUGACAAAAAAGCUUAUCUAACUCCAUGGAACAUUUAUUUUUUUAGGUCCUAUUUAAAGGAUGCAUGGUGGUAUACUGUGGAAUAUAAAGGAACCUUUUUCAAUAUCUACAAUAAAUCUCGCCUUCCGUUUGACUCUGUGGCCAUUCGGUCAACACGAUACCAUAAGAAGACAACGGAGGUUUUGCACUACAAGAACGAAAACGACACAUGCGCUGUCUUUUGGGUGCUAUCAUCUACGGGUUAUACGCUGAAACCAUAUUAUGACCUUCGAAUGAAAGAUUCGUAUGUGAAAGCAAAAUUUUCUCCUCGAAGUGAUUGUUGGAAAGAAUUCAAAAAUGUUACAGAACGCCGAAAAACAAAGCAAAUAUAUUAUAAAAGCUGCCAAUAUGCUGUAAACAAGAAAUUGCGGGAACCUACUUCCACUAAACUCUUUUAAUAAAGAAAAUCCAC